UACGGGGGGGGGCAAGCGUUGUUCGGAAUUACUGGGCGUAAAGGGCGCGUAGGCGGUCUGCUAAGCGUGUGGUGAAAGCCCGGGGCUCAACCCCGGGUCGGCCGUGCGAACUGGCGGACUGGAGCUUGUCAGAGGCAGGCGGAAUUCCGGGUGUAGCGGUGGAAUGCGUAGAGAUCCCCAAGAACACCCGUUGCGAAGGCGGCUGACUGGACACAUAUUGACGCUGAGGCUCGAAAGCAUGGGGAGCAAACAGG
rnacentral:rRNA from 1 species